CUCACAAUUUUUGAAACACAACCCACAGCACGUUGCGGGAGGAGACAGGGUUAAGACAUGCCCAUAUCCAUACUCAGCAGUGAAGUGGGCAGCAAGACAAACGCCCUGGGUCCUUGCUCUGGGAACCAAAAGCUAGGCAAAUCCCCUGAUUUCAGCAGUGCCCCCUCCAUUUUCUCUCCAGGGCUAUUUUUAAGCUGGCUGAUCCCAGCAACAUGCCUUACAGAGGGACAACACAACACUGCAAAAGGUGGAAGUGGAGCAGGAAGUGAGGGAGAUGAGAAACACCUUUUCAGAUGGCUUCCCCUUGUGUGGGCAGCUGUGGCCUUAGGGGCCAGAUUUCCCUGUGACAAGGGAGGCUGUAGUGGAAGAGCUGGUGAAAGGAGUAAUAAGCACUGCAGGUGGGAAAAAAAGGCAGGGCAACCACCCACCAAUAAAUAUAGGCAGGGCAGGGCUACAUUUUGUACAGCUGGGACCAUCUGCCUAAUGGCAGGGAAGGGCAAGAUAGGUGUCAGGAGAGGGCCCAUUUCAGGCUCUUUCAAAACUGCGCUUCAUGGAUACCAGGAGAAACAUGGAUGCGGAGAAGAUGAUGCUAAACCUCACGACUCCAGGAAGCGGUGCCUUAAAAACAUGAAUCGCUCUGCCAUGAAGCUUUGGAUGAAUUUGCAAGGGGGCAAUGCUGGAGUCUGUAGGAGGUUGGGUAAGGGGUGGGAAUCUGCACAGCUCAAGUGGGGGGCCAGCCACUACACACUGCGGCCUGUGGAACGCUGCCCAGGCUGUCCCCACGGGGGAGAUCUCCCAUACUCAAGCACUAGGUCGAGGAUUGUUCUGCUACCAAAUUCUCCAAAAAUGAGACACACAGGGGCGCCAAAGUCUCAGGAAAAGAAACCUCAGCGUGAGGCUUUUUGCUGCAGAGCUGCUUGUGGGCAGCCUGCCUUCCCACAGGAGCAGCAGCUCAUCAGCCCUGGCCUGCUUUUGUUUGCAACCAUGCUGGGGCUUCACAGGCCCCUGAACUUGCCUGUCGUAAGCAGGAUAGGUGGCUGCUUGCUGCUUUUAACCCUGCUCCUCUGGCCAGAAGUUCCCAAAGGAGGGACAAGGUGUGCCCAGGUGCAAGGGAUGUCACUCCCUCGGUAGAGCCAGGCCAUGUUUUGUCCUUCUUCCACAAGCGAGGCCAGUGAAAGAGUGAUUCCACUAGCCCUGGGCUGCCAUGAGAUUAUGCGUAUAGAGGACUGCUGUUCCUUCUGCUGCUCUUUGGGAAGAUCACACCCAGAGCACGGCCUAUGGUUUCUCUCACUUCAGAGGUUUUCUUCCACAGCAGUAAGGGAGGCAGGCGACACACGCCGGUAUAAAACACCCCAGAAAUAUAACUGAGUCAAGCAAGCUAGACCCGUGGUACAGGCUGCUGUGGAAAGACCAUGCUAUUCACUGCUUCGUUUUGCUUUGCUCUCUGCCGAGUGAUAUAUCUUAGUGACAAGUCACUCUAGCCAUGCAACACUGCUUUUAAUGCCAUAAAGCAUCGUGGGGUGUAGGCAUGUGCUAGGACAAAGGCUAGAGCUAAUGUUAAAGGCUAAAUGUAUUACAGCUGAAUGCAAGCUGGUCUCGAUUAAAGAUUACAGCCUUGGAAGUUUCUUGUUAAAAAGUCACUUGGAGGUUUUUUUUUUGUUUUGUUUUGUUUUGUUUUGUGUGUGUGUGUGUAUAUUAAUAUUAUGGACAUCAGAGCCUCCAACAGUUAUUUUCAAGUAAUAUGUCUUUUUGUAAUUAUUUGACACAUUAAAAUAUAUGCCUCGCAGACAGCAGUUCUAAUGUUAGCUUAUAUAUAUCAAAGUAGAUUUUAUUUAAACACCACUAUGGAGACUGCCAGGCUUUGUUUCAUAAGUACAUCUUGGAAUUAUUAGGGUGUUUUAUUCAAUGCACUGAAGAAUGCAAUUCCACUUCCAAUGUAUCACAUUGUGCCGGGGUGGAUACAAUGCCCAAGUGUUGUUAGAGACACACCAAGAGUUUCAAAAGUGGGUGCCCAGGUUUAGAUACCGAAGAGCACAAUUCAGCACCUGAAUGGAAGCAGCCUGUUGCAGAGAGGCCCCGAGCACGCGCUGCUCCUCCCGAUAUCUCUCUCCUGACAAUGGGAUGCAAUGUCAGCAGCAGCAGGAGGAGCAGGUACUGGUCUAGCGGAUUGUUCUUGGUUUCCUUUCCUUGAUCUUCACCAAACCAGAUGCAAGACCUUUGGGAAAUUCCUUAUCUUCCCCUUGCAACGCUUAUCUGUAAAGCAGAUAAACUAAUAACACUGCAUCUCUCAAGGGUUUGUUGAAUCUUAUUAUAGAGUUUGAGAGGGAAGUCAUUAUAAAAAUGACCAUGUUAAUAUGACAUGAAUGUAACAUGAAGGAGCCCCAUUCUGCUCCAUGCCAGUUUGUGGAGCCUCGUUAUUUGCUUUAGCAGAAGCAGGGAUUUGACCUGUACUUAAAUAACUUCCAUUUGUUUGUCUUGUAGCUAAGAGAUAGCAUUAAAAGGAAAGCUCACUCCUGCCUAUGUGUAAAUAUUCAGCACCUGAAUAGGUGUUCUUUUGCAGGGCACAGAUUCUGCUUCUCAACACUUUCUCGGGAUGUUAGUACAGACUCUUUCAAAGCUGCUGCAGAUCAGAAGAUACCCCAAAAUUAAUGGAUCAAAAUCUCUCCCAGAUAAGCAUACACAUACAGAAUUUAUUUUACCGAGCAAGUAAAUAUUUAAGAUAAAUAUCCCUGGGGGAGGAGGGUUGUGUGAGGUUUUAUGGCAUAUUAUAUUAUGGGCUCAGUUUUGAAAUUUUAAUCCAAGCAAAACUCAUCAUGUAGAGACUUAGCACUGGAGUGUAACUUGGUGCUUCGUCCUCAGGUCAGUGGAUACAUGCAGUUGCAUCAAUGGAUUUUAGGGCAGGGGGCAGUGAAGAUGGUGAAGCUUUACCCAAAGAAGAGAAGCCCUCCCCAUAAACAAUUAAUUUAGUUUAGCAAUAAUGUUUUGUUCAGGCAAGUCACAUUGGAGGAUACCAUUCUGUGAAUUUCACCUAACGAUUUUAGUGAUGAAAAAUUAUAAAAUAAUAUAUGUCAAAUAACAAUUUUGUAAUUGUUUUUCAGUGGCAUGGUCAAUAAAACUGCAAUCUGCUGCA
rnacentral:lncRNA from 1 species